GACGAACGCUGGCGGCGUGCCUAAUACAUGCAAGUCGAACGCAGUGGGGACGGGUGAGUAACCCGUUAGUCACCUCCCAUCAGAGGGGAUAACACUUGGACACAGGUGCUAAACCGAUACUGAUGGAUGGACCCGCGGUGCAUUAGCUAGGUGGGGAGGUAACGGCGCACCAAGGCCACGCUGCAUAGCCGACCUGCGAGGGUGAUCGGCCACACUGGGACGGAGACACGGCCCAGACUCCGACGGGAGGAAGCAGUAGGGAAUCGUCGGCAAUGGACGAAAGUCUGACCGAGCAACGCCGCGUGAGUGAAGAAGGUUUUCGGAUCGUAAAACUCUGUUGUGAGAGAAGCGGUAUCUAACCAGAAAGCCACGGCUAACUACGUGCCAGCCGCCGCGGUAAUAC
rnacentral:rRNA from 1 species